GCCUCCAUAGCUCAGGAGGUUAGAGCACUGGUCUCUCAUCAAACCAGAGUCCUUGAGUUCAGAUCUCGCUGGUGGCU